rnacentral:rRNA from 1 species
UUGUGAAGGACUUUCGGAGGGAAAACACAAUGACUCAUUGGCGGACGGGUGAGUAACGCGUAGGGAACCUGGCCCUUACAGGGGGAUAACAGAUGGAAACAACUGCUAAUACCGCAUAAGCGCCCAGCCUCGCAUGAGGCAGAGUGAAAAACUAAGGUGGUAAGGGAUGGCCCUGCGUCCGAUUAGCUAGUUGGUAUGGUAACGGCAUACCAAGGCGACGAUCGGUAGCCGGCCUGAGAGGGUGGACGGCCACAUUGGGACUGAGACACGGCCCAAACUCCUACGGGAGGCAGCAGUGGGGGAUAUUGCACAAUGGGGGAAACCCUGAUGCAGCGACACCGCGUGGGUGAAGAAGCGCUUCGGCGUGUAAAGCCCUAUCAGUGGGGAAGAAAAAGGACGGUACCCAAAGAAGAAGCACCGGCUAAAUACGUGCCAGCAGCCGCGGUAAUACGUAUGGUGCAAGCGUUAUCCGGAAUGACUGGGUGUAAAGGGAGCGUAGACGGUUGUACAAGUCUGAUGUGAAAGCCCACGGCUCAACUGUGGGAGUGCAUUGGAAACUGUAGAACUAGAGUAUCGGAGAGGCAAGUGGAAUUCCUAGUGUAGCGGUGAAAUGCGUAGAUAUUAGGAGGAACACCAGUGGCGAAGGCGGCUUGCCGGACGAAAACUGACGUUGAGGCUCGAAAGCGUGGGGAGCAAACAGGAUUAGAUACCCUGGUAGUCCACGCUGUAAACGAUGAAUACUAGGUGUUGGGGCCCGAAGGGCGUCGGUGCCGUCGCAAACGCAGUAAGUAUUCCACCUGGGGAGUACGUUCGCAAGAAUGAAACUC